rnacentral:rRNA from 1 species
UACGUAGGGUGCGAGCGUUGUCCGGAAUUAUUGGGCGUAAAGAGCUCGUAGGCGGUGUGUCACGUCGGCCGUGAAAACCUGCAGCUUAACUGUGGGCGUGCGGUCGAUACGGGCAUAACUGGAGUUCGGCAGGGGAGACUGGAAUUCCUGGUGUAGCGGUGAAAUGCGCAGAUAUCAGGAGGAACACCGGUGGCGAAGGCGGGUCUCUGGGCCGAUACUGACGCUGAGGAGCGAAAGCGUGGGGAGCAAACAGG